rnacentral:rRNA from 1 species
UAGGGAAUAUUGCACAAUGGGCGCAAGCCUGAUGCAGCGACGCCGCGUGGGUGAUGAAGGUCUUCGGAUCGUAAAGCCCUUUUUCUGCGUGACGAGACAGGACGGUAGCGCAGGAAUAAGUCUCGGCUAACUACGUGCCAGCAGCCGCGGUAAAACGUAGGAGACGAACGUUAUCCGGAGUUAUUGGGCGUAAAGGGCGUGUAGGCGGUUUGUUAAGUCUGGCGUGAAAGCUCUCGGCUAAACCGGGAGAGGUCGUUGGAUACUGGCGAACUAGAGGAUGGUAGAGGCGUGUGGAAUUCCGGGUGUAGUGGUGAAAUGCGUAGAGAUCCGGAGGAACACCAGUGGCGAAGGCGACACGCUGGGCCAUACCUGACGCUAAAGCGCGACAGCAUGGGGAGCAAACGGGAUUAGAUACCCAAGUAGUCCCUGAGCGGGCUGGCAAGGCGCAU